rnacentral:rRNA from 1 species
UUCCUACGGGGCGCAGCAGUGAGGAAUAUUGGUCAAUGGGCGGAAGCCUGAACCAGCCAAGUCGCGUGAGGGAAGAAGGCCCUGCGGGUCGCAGACCUCUUUGGACGGGGAGCAAGGCCGCCGACGUGUCGGCGGAAGGAGAGUACCCGUAGAACAAGCAUCGGCUAACUCCGUGCCAGCAGCCGCGGUAAUACGGAGGAUGCGAGCGUUAUCCGGAUUUACUGGGUGUAAAGGGCGUGUAGGCGGGAGAGCAAGUCAGACGUGAAAUUCCAGGGCUCAACCCUGGAACUGCGUUUGAAACUGUU